AUUGAACGCUGGCGGCAGGCCUAACACAUGCAAGUCGAACGGAGUGGCGGACGGGAGAGUAGUGUGGGAGAAACUGCCUGGUAGUGGGAGAUAACGUCCGGAAACGGGCUCUAAUACCGCAUACUACCAGAUGAUCCGAGGUGGGAUUAGCUAGUGGGUGGGGUAAAGGCCUACCAAGGCCACGAUCCCUAGCUGGUCUGAGAGGAUGAUCAGCCACACUGGAACUGAGACACGGUCCAGACUCCUACGGGAGGCAGCAGUGGGGAAUAUUGGACAAUGGGCGCAAGCCUGAUGCAGCCAUGCCGCGUGUGUGAAGAAGGCCUUCGGAUUGUAAAGCACUUUCAGCUGGGAGGCGUUACCAACAGAAUAAGCACCGGCUAACUCCGUGCCAGCAGCCGCGGUAAUUC
rnacentral:rRNA from 1 species